AUGCAUGGAAAUUUUUUGACUUGGAUUACAUUAAUUAUUAGCUAAUAACUGGUGAAUUCUGCACUGAUCUUCUUUGGAUCAUAUAGGGUAAAUGCAUCAUUUAAAGAUAAAAUGUUCUUGCCAGAAGCCAUCCUGAAUCUGGAAAUCUGGAAAAUUUAGUUUUAAGGGAAUCAAGAGUGCUCAGGGUGCUCUGAGUUAGUAGCAAAUGCAUGUUUCCAGUAACUAUACCGCAACAAGUUAACACUAAAGAGAAAAAAUACAUAGUCAACAAAAUGCUGCACUUCUUGUUUUAGUUUAUGUGUUAUUUGCUUUACACAAAGCAGGGAGUGAUAGGGAAUGCAGAAACUCGUGACCUUUCAUUUCAGUGGAACACGAUGAGCCAGAAUAUAUUUAGAUAUAAAGCAUUGAACCACAACAUGCACUGAUGAACUCUUAAAGAAUCCACAUUAAUUGACUGACAGGCACUAUUGAAUUAAUGAAGUUAGUUAUGUGUGGUGAUAAAUACUUAACAUCAAUGUUUCUUGGGCUCAUAUACAAGCCCUUUAGCGCCAAAUCCUUUGUAGAUUGGAAAAUGGGAUAAACAAAAUGUGAUACUGAGUCAGUUGCUGGGCAGGACCUAAGGGAAUCUAGGUCAUCAACUGUUUCAUUUUGGGCUCACUCAUUGUUGAGUUGAAAAUUUCAUAUAUGUUGACUGGUGUGUAUGUGUUCAUAUGCCCAUGUUGGGUCUGAGUUUAAUCUGGCAAUAAGAUUUCUUUCUAAACUUUCAAGAAAAAUACCGAUAUUUAUUGACUCAUUAUUUAGUAAGUUUUAGAAUACAUGAACAUCAGUGUUUUCAACUAUUUGGUGGACAUUUCAGUGACAUAAAGUAUCAGAUUAUCAGGUUUGUUUAAAAUAAAUGUAAUCACCAGAGUGAGCUGACAGUAGAAAUUCAGUCAUGCUGUAUUUGCUUCCAUAAAGAAAGAUCAUCAAUAUAUAGAUCAUGUAAUAGGUAUGCUUUAUAUCAAAUAGGAAAUUUUAUAGGAAACUAGAGGAGAGUGAGAUCCAGCUCUCCAGCAGGAAGGAUGCUACUUAAAAUGGAGCCACUUGGGUCCCUUUAAUAAAGAAAGAUGUUAUUCUGUGCUAUGUCUUUGGAAUUGAAAUUGGAAAACACAUGCCAAUCAGUUCUGUAUGGCUUCUGGUCACACAGAUGCUGUUUUAUCUGAUAAAUUUGGAAUCCAGAUUAUUUUGAUGAAAGGUACAUAGGAGAGCUGCUGAAAAGACCACAGUUUCUAAGGAAGCAGGAGGGCCCUGUAAGUGCCCACAGCCACCCCUGAGUUCUAAUCCUCCUCUAACCUGCCUGAUGGAGUAAACAUGAAGAUUUUAAAUGGAAUCAUGUAAUUUAAAUUUAUAGUUUUUCCUAUACCUUUGUCAACUACUGCCUAUGUGGGUUUUUUUUUUUUUUUUUUUUUUUUUUUUAAACCACCAGAACACUUGCAAACUUGUGAAGUUCACUUAAGGAAAGAUUUCAAAAUGUUUGAAAAUAAACAGUAAUAUCUGGUUGGGAAUUAUUUUUGUGUUCUUUUGCUACAAAAUAAGUUUGCUAGGUUGCAGAAAACAACCACCUGCCUCAGCUUAGACGUGGGAAUCCGCUCUGGCAGCGUCUUGAUUCCCAGGAUGCCAGCUUGCUGUCUGACUUCCUGGUCCUAUCUGCCUCAUUUGCACCUUGACCUUUGUUAGGAAACAGGCCUCCCAUGUGUGGUACCCAAGAUCCCAUCAUUAAAACACUGCCAGACACAGCUCUUUCCUGCUUUUUCUCUACCACUACAAGUCUUCCUGGCUCACCUCCCUUGUUCCUGUUCCUGCUUCAUUUCCUCACUUGACAUUCCCCUAUUAUGACUGUACCAAUAAGUGGAUGAUGAGAGGUAUGAUUGAAUGAUCAUGUUAAUUUUUAUUUGCCUCCCAUGUUACUGUAAACAGUUUCUUAGGUUUCAGCCUAGCCUGUGAUAAUCUCACCACACUGGAAUAAUUCCAAGUAUGAAUGAAAUGGCUCAUUUUCUCCAUUUAUUAUGGAUUAGAAGAAACGAUGAAGGAAGGCUGGCAGAAGCCCAGCCUUACUCUGAGGAGACUCAACUGAAAGGCGUCUCUCCACCGUGAUCUAAUACAGGCCCAGAAUGCAGGGGCAAGUUUAUGUGUGAAGGGAUUCUAGAAUAGCUUGUAAAAAUGGCUAAAUGUAACCAGCACACUGGUGGCUUCAUCCAGUAUUCCCAUAACUUUUAAUUCCAUAGGAAAUUUCAUCUGAGCUACUUCCCAGAAAUCAGAAAUCUCAAUAUAUGUGACAGUAGGUAUUUGGCAUGAGUAAACUGAGUUCAUUUCCCAACAACUCUCUGAGUUAGAACUGGAGUUAUUCUAGUUAAGGGUGGGAAAAAUCAGCCACUGCCUUAGCCUCAUUUCCAUGGCCAGCAUGCUGGUCUCAUCGACAAGGAUGAAACUCAGUAGGGUUUGACCUGAACCCUUGGCUCCUGUGUGGUGUUGGUAGGGCAAUAGUGACCAGAAAACCACAAGGCCUGCAAGAUGUUACUUUGAAAGAGGGAACGUUUAAUGUCAUUUGUUAGGAAAUAGAAACCAAAUAAAGGCCAAGGACCAUACUCAUUCCAUGAAGAGGUGAACUCCCUCAGCUGACUGUAUUUUGAGUUGACUGAAUGAGGAGAUCGACCCAGCUGUAAGGAAUACUGAGGUCAUUAGACCUCAGAAAACAAUAUGUGCAUGCAAUCUCAAGGGCUGUGAACACGGGAAAGGAAGGGAAAAAGACAUUUAUAAAGUCAAUCUUAACAGUUUUUGCAAUACCUCUUAUUUGCAGACUAUUGGAUUUACGUUAUUGCACUCUUCGUGUGAUCUGUCUUAUGUAUCUGAUAGUUUUUAUGAAUAAUUGAGUUGUAAACUCCGAUACACUUUAUUAAAAUGGACCUAAUUAAAGUAUGUGACUCACACUUUGUAUUAUUUCUU
ensembl:lncRNA